UGAUAUAUUUUUCCUUGUUGCACUUAUUACUGCCUGAUGUGCCAUACAUUUGUCUAUGUCUGCCCCACGACCCACUAGAAUAUAAACAUUUUGAGAACAGGGACUUUGUUACUUUCACUGCUAUAUCCCCAACAUAGAAGUCGCUAUCCAGCUCACAGAAGGUAUGAACGAAUUAAUGAAUCUAAUCAAACAUCUAUUAUAAAGGCAUUCAGUAAAUAUUUAUGGGAAUUUGUAAAUAGAUAAUUAAGUUUAAAAAAGAGAAUGGAGGCAGAUUAAAUGACUUCCUAAAAUAUGUCUUCAAUUAGUGUUAGCCAACAACAUAAUCAUUAUUUUUGUUUUCAUUUGGGUCACCUCAGAUUUACCACUUCUGUCUUCCUUCCCACCUUCUUCACUUUACCUAGGUCCUCUUCUCACAGAUAGGUAGUCUGUCUCUGAUUUUAAGUGACGUACCAGCCCGGAGAUCAAAUCUUGGAGCUCCCACAUGGCCAUGGGAUGAAAUCCUGACCCACUCAGACUGUGCACAAAUUCU
rnacentral:lncRNA from 10 species